AGUCACUGACAUUAGAUACCCGGGUAGUCCCAGCCGUAAACAAUGUGCGUUAGGUAUGUCGGUAACCACGUGUUACUGAUGUGCCGAAGAGAAAUCGUGAAACGCACCACCUGGGAAGUACAGUCGCAAGGCUGAAACUUAAAGGAAUUGGCGGGGAGCACCACAACAGGUGGAGCCUGCGGUUUAAUUGGAUUCAACGCCGGACAUCUCACCGGAUAAGACAGCUGAAUGAUUGUCAAUCUGAAGGUUUACAUGACUAGCUG
rnacentral:rRNA from 1 species